rnacentral:rRNA from 1 species
UACAGAGGGGGCAAGCGUUGUUCGGAAUUACUGGGCGUAAAGGGCGCGUAGGCGGCCUGCUAAGUCGAACGUGAAAUCCCUGGGCUCAACCCAGGAACUGCGUCCGAUACUGGUUGGCUUGAAUCCGGGAGAGGGAUGCGGAAUUCCAGGUGUAGCGGUGAAAUGCGUAGAUAUCUGGAGGAACACCGGUGGCGAAGGCGGCAUCCUGGACCGGCAUUGACGCUGAGGCGCGAAAGCGUGGGGAGCAAACGGG